ACGGGUGAGGAACACGUAGGAAUCUACCCUCGAGCGGGGGACAACCAAGGGAAACUUUGGCUAAUACCGCAUAAUCUCGAGAGAGUAAAGCUGCCCGCAAGGGUGGCACUCGAGGAGGAGCCUGCGUCCGAUUAGCUAGUUGGUGAGGUAAGAGCUCACCAAGGCGAUGAUCGGUAACUGGUCUGAGAGGACGGCCAGUCACACUGGGACUGAGACACGGCCCAGACUCCUACGGGAGGCAGCAGUGGGGAAUAUUGGACAAUGGGGGCAACCCUGAUCCAGCGAUGCCGCGUGAGUGAAGAAGGCCUUCGGGUCGUAAAGCUCUUUAGGUUGGGAAGAAGGGUAUAGGCUGAAUAAUCUUAUACUUUGACGGUACCGACAGAAUAAGCACCGGCAAACUCUGUGCCAGCAGCCGCGGUAAUACAGAGGGUGCGAGCGUUAAUCGGAAUUACUGGGCGUAAAGGGCGCGUAGGCGGUGAGAUGUGUGUGAUGUGAAAGCCCCGGGCUUAACCUGGGAAGUGCAUCGCAAACUAUCUGACUGGAGUAUAUGAGAGGGUGGCGGAAUUUCCGGU
rnacentral:rRNA from 1 species